UGAGUUUCCCCAAUCAGUAGUGUGAGGGGGAAGCCACCGGAGCAGCUGCACUCGUGUCCACCACCGUCGUCUUUAGAAGCCGACUGGUGCCAGGGUGUGUCGAAUAUCUGCGGGAAUUGGCCAGGUGCGGCCAGUUGUGGGCCAGUUGAUGGCGAGCUAUUAUUACCUGGAACAGAACCUGCCCCAACAACAUCAUCGCCCCCUGUGGGUUCGAUAGGAGGUUGUGCAGCUCUGCUCACCCCCUCCACUCUCAUAUACACACACACACAGCCAUUCACUAGGUUCUGGCUCAUGGACUAAUUGCAUCUCACGGACCAUUUGCAUUAUUUGGACAUGGUGUUCAUCUUUUAUGAGCAAAGAAUAUAGUCCUAUACUGUGUUGUGGAUUGUCUUUAAUUUGAGUACUCUCCAGUUUUCUGAGUUAUAUUUUGUUGUGUUUUCCCCUGUGAACUACUGAACUUCUCUGCAGAUUUGAAAUAUUUUGGGUAUUGUUAUUAUUGUUUGUCUUUGUUUCCACUUAAUACAUGGUACCAAAACUAAAUCU